AAGAGGGAUUUGGGUGCAGAAAUGGAAGGUUAUUCUAAGAAUGGGUGUGGAAGGAAAGACAAAUGUAGUUCAUGCAGUGGAGGGCGUGUGGGAGGAAAGAAAGUGGAAGUCAGAAGGGAAGGGCGGAGAGGAAGAGCAGAAACAUCAUAAGAGGAGGAGGGGAGGGGAAGGAAGUGCCAGACAUCGCCCACAGGGCUCUGCAGCGGGCUCCUCCCCUCCCCCUGCCCCCCUCCCCCCAGCCCAUCCCAGGGUGUGCUUGCCUGCUGUCGACAGACUGACCUUCCUGGUCUUUUGUGUGCCAUUCUAAAGCCGGGUCAUUUAAGAUCUUUUCUUUCCACCAAUACUCUGAUUUUGGACAUUUGUGGGGGGGGGAAGCCAUGGUCCCUUGCAUGACACUCUACUGAGAUUAAAAUAAAUAUAUCCAUUGAAAUCACUUCUUCCCUUAAUAGUUAUUUGUGGAAUUAAAAAUUUUCAUGAUCAUUGAGGCUCUGAAUAUCAUUUUUGGCUCUUUCAGGAUAAAGUUUGCAUUUGAUGCAAAGUAACCAUGAGGCAUAUGUGUCUGUAGGUGCGGGUAAUGGGAUUUUUUUCAUCAUUACAUCUUCUGCCCUGUGCUUCUGCCGUGACAUCUUUUAGCUCUCCUGCUGUUUGGCACCCAUAGCGUGGGUCUCAGGACUUUGUUGUUGUUAGAAACGAACCACCGGUUGGCUCCUGGCUCUGUUGCUGUAAGUCCUGGACCAGAGGUGCCUGUGGCGUAAGCUGCCCACUGACUCUUCCCUCUGCUUGAACCCCAUUUAGAAACCUAAACAUUUUCUUUGACAUUUUAUAGUCGCCAAUCCUCAUUUGUCAAAAUGUGUUCCAAGGAAGUUUUGUUUGAAAGUGAAAAAAAAGUCCAUAACCUCUUCUCAGGGACCCACAAAAAGCCAAAAAUCACGUGGCCACCCUCAGCCAGCACGGGUCACUGCCCCUCCUCACCCCCCAUGGCCAUCAGAUGUGCUGGCGGUCCGUGCAAGCACCUCACAGCCCUCCACCCGCUCUGGCUGACAACUCCUGUUUUCCACACCCUGCUUCAGAUGAAGGCUCCUCCUCCCCAUGGACAGCAAGUGGCUUCUGCCCAUCUGGAGAGCCCCCGCUGCUGAAGGAUCCAGCUCAUCACUGAGACGUGAUCUGGUCCCACCUCCUUAUAAUAAUGAGGACAUCACUUCCCUGUGCAAAGGCUUCCUGCUGGUCCCUGAGUUACCAAGAUAUUCCAGCCCCUCCUUCAAGCCAUUAUCAUGAAGACCCAUUGGGUCAUAUAGUCUAGGGGGCUCAGUGAUGAUCAGCAGGUUCUAGAUUCAUAGAAGCACUAAUAUUGAAUCAUCGCUAUGCCUGUGCUCUCCAGGCUGGGCACCCCGGUUCAGGGUGGGGACGGACAGUGCUGGGCAGCCAAGAGAUACAGACUGCCAGCGAGAGAGGGAACACAAGCAGGGGGAGUGGGAGAGGAAG